rnacentral:rRNA from 1 species
GCCCCUACGGGAGGCAGCAGUGAGGAAUAUUGGUCAAUGGUCGGGAGACUGAACCAGCCAAGCCGCGUGAGGGAUGAAGGUACAGAGUAUCGUAAACCUCUUUUGUCAGGGAACAAAGGCGGGGACGCGUCCCCGGAUGAGUGUACCUGAAGAAAAAGCAUCGGCUAACUCCGUGCCAGCAGCCGCGGGAAUACGGAGGAUGCGAGCGUUAUCCGGAUUUAUUGGGUUUAAAGGGUGCGCAGGCGGUCUGUUAAGUCAGCGGUCAAAGCCCGGGGCUCAACCCCGGCCCGCCUGUGACACUGUCA